GCACCUCUCGCUCCUAGCCAUUCUUUCGUUCUCUCCUCCCAGUUACAGUUCUCGCCGCCGCCGCCCUCACCGGCGUUCGUGCUUCACCUCCCGUCCCAAGCUCCACCUAUCAUCCAACGUCUUCUCCCCCGAUCUACUCGAUUUCAAUCUCAGGAACGCAUGGGAGGCGAGGUGUCCGUUGCUGGGACAUGGGCCAUGAGGAGGCUCAAACCCUUGGAUCCCUCCUUCGCGGGGCCAGGGCGCCCAUCCGCGUCGUACUGCACCGCUGCCGGCAUGGAGGCCCGGGCUCGUGCAGCCACCACGGUGUUGACCUCUCCUGGCUCCCCACCCUGGCCCGCGACGAUGAGUACCAGGUAACGCUGCUCCUGCAGUCUCAGCUCAUGGUCGUGCUGGGCAAGCCCCAUGACGUGCCUUGGAAUCGGUCGUGGCGUUGGUUGGGAACCGUACGGUGUUGUCUGAUGCGUUGUACGCAGUACGCACCAGGAGGUUUGGUCGGUCAAAGGCAGGUAUGAGUAGCUCCUAAGGCUGAUGGAUGGAUGGAUGUGUGCACGCCUGUAUGUGUGUAUGGAUGUCAGGGUCAUGUUGCUUGGUGGUCAAAGGCUGGGGGUAGAACCUGAUUUUGCUUGGUGGGCAAAGGCUGAUGAAUGGAUGGAUGUGUGCACGCCUGUAUGUAUGUAUGAAUAUCAGGCUCAUGUUGCUUGGUGGGCAAAGGCCGGGGGUAGAACCUCCUUUUCGGUAAAAAAAUGAGGGAUGAUGAUGAUGACUCUGGCUGAAAUAAGCAUGACUUGAGCAAUCAAGACUGUUGUGGCUUGUGGGUACUAAAUUAGAGCUCACCCUUACCUCUCUUGGAGCCUGUUCAAUUCAUCGGUAAUGUUCAAUGUUCUGCUCCUCAGAUGGUCACUCUGAUGAGCGAUAACCACGACAGUUCGUUUACAUUGCGAUGGAUAUGUUAUGCAGCAUGAGAUGUGAGUGUUGGGCUUGAAGAUCAAAGAGAGAACUGAGCCCUCUUUUGCUAUGCUACAAAUACACAAAUUUUCCUUAUCUACUAUACAGUGUUCUUCUUUCUGUUCUAUUGUGUUGAUGUGAGUGAAGAUCCAUCUGGACUUGGGAUUUAUGUCUUCUUUUGGUGAUGAACUCAACCACCCUAAGCCUACUUGGAUUGACUUAUAAUUGGGUUUGUUUUGCCUUUCUAGUUGUAUAUACUAUAUCUAUUACACAAUUGUCCUUUUUCUCCCAUGCCUGUAGCUAUUGGCAGUUUUAUUCCUGUGGUUAACAAGAUACCGUCAUACUAUUUGUCUUGUUAGUAAGCAUGUUAGCUUUUGCCAGAUGCUUCUUCAAAGAUGAACUUCAAUCCUCCACGGGAUUGCAAAGAGUUGUCAUUAAAACAGAUUGCCGAAAUGUGCUAUCUAUUUUGGUCAGAGCAGACCCUUUGUUAUGAUCCUCUUUGCUAUUUAGUUCAUUGGUCAUCCAUCUCUUUUUAAGCUGCUGCUGUUAAUACUAACUGCCACAUUGAUUAUUAGAAUCACAUGAUGCAUUAGUGCGGUACAGAUCCCUCACAGGUUGUUUAAAAUGAGAGUGUCAAGUCAAUUUAUCAGCUGGAAAGUUUUUUUGGGUUAAAAAUGUCAUUAUAUUUUUUCUAAUCAUGAAUGAAAGUCUUCUUGGAGCUUUUGCCUGGGCCAUUUGGGAUCUGUAUGUUGGCCAUUGUCCCCCCUUCACAUUAUAUGUUUUUAAAUUUAUUUCGUGGUCUUGCUAUGGUUUUUGUUUUCAUUUUGCCAAAGGUUGCAGUAUGGAAACCAUCCUCUAUCUCUAUAUCAAUACCACUAUCUUUUUCACCAUCUUCGGACAUCAUGACAUUAAUUCGAUUUGAUACCUCAUGUUCUUUACUUCACACUCUUAGUAAUUCCUUAUUCGUAACUAUUGUUUUCAAAGUUGCAUAUAUUUGUGAUCAUAGACAUCCGAUGGUUCCACAUUUUUCUUGGUAAGUGUACAUGUCAUGUAGUCCAUUAAAAGAAUGAAAUGCACUGAAUUAGUAGAGGCCUUCCUAUUUAUACAUUAAAUCUAUGGUAUUGAUUAUCUAUGCUUUAUGCUCUGCCCAUGGCCGGGCGGCUUCAGUGAUUCUCCUCUGUUGGAACAAGCCAUCACUACAACCUCAUAAUUAUGAUGUAUAUAUAUAUGCGCAAAUAUGUUUCUGUUUUUACAUUGAUAAAACAUGUGUUUAGUUGUACUGGCCAAGAAUAGUUCUAUGAUUAAUGCUUAUAGUUUACUGUCAACUACUUCUACUGAUGGCUUAUAGUUUUUAUAGACUGUGACCAUAAUUGUGAGCCUUAUGGGAGGCCACUCACUAGAUAAAUAUAAUGGAUUGGGGUGGCCCAUAGAGUAGCUUCUCAAGCGGGCCUUACUCUUCGGUUUCUACUUCCAUGGCAUCAUCGUGUAGGAUGCGGCAUGAAGCUGUGUAAGGUACUGAUGGUCUUUGAGGUGAGCUCUUUAUCUGUAUCUAACAGUGCUCUGUCUCCCUUCGCGUAUAAUAACAUUUUAGUGGAUCUGAAUUUUGUGUUGACUGACUGGAAGUCAAGGUUCUGUUCAAUUGAUUCAUAUAUAUAUAUAUAUGUCUCUGAAUUUCCUUAUAUUUUCCCGUGUGUGAUCAUUUGUACUGUAAGUUAUUGUACAUGCACCUCCAUUCAUAGCAUGCCAACAAUGUGAAUUAGCUUAUUAGGAUUUUAUAUAUUCCUUUUACCCUUUCUAUGGUUGUUAGUACCAUGUAUUUUAUUAAAUCCAUUAUCAAGAUGUAGGUUAUCCUUUUGCACGGCAUGCCUAAAAAUGAAUAUCACCGUAUAGCUGUGCUGCUAAUGUUAUGAGUGUUUUUUUUUGCACGCCGAAACUGAUUGUACCAUACCAAUCCCAGUGGGAGCACUUUGUGUCUAUGGUGGUGAAUUUUUUGUCGUGAUCAAAACUUAUCUUAUUGCUCCCAGUUUGGGAAAUGUUUUUUAGACACUUGAGACAAUUUUUUUUUUGAAAUAGGAGAUCAUUAUAAUUUGUUUUUGUCUCUGCGUCAGCUGCUAUUUCAGUUAAUGCUUGGUUGUUCCUAGAUAAUAACAGAGAAGUUCUCUAUGUGGCGAUCCUCAAAACUUCCUAAUAGUUCAGUGGAGUAAGAAGGCUUGCAUGAGUUUGAUCAAACUAAACUGAUCAUAUGCUGAAGCAAAAAAAUGUAUGACUCUAGGAGUUCGGAGUACUACGAGAAUUGCUCAAGGGUCACACCACAACGACUGCUAGAGCAGGCUUCACCUCAGGCGCUCUCCCUAACUCUUUUACAUGCUGAUGACCACUUCACACACCAACGCAUGAGUAAAAUGGCUGGUGAGCACCAACGUCUCUGAAACUUUUUCAGAAUAAAGUAAUGAGGCUGCAUUUGUUUUCAUGGCCGGCCGAUGCUGCGUGGAUCCGGUUCAACGAGGUCGUUGGCGACGUGCUGCGGGAGCGGCAGAGGAGGAUCUGGUCUCUAUGGCAAGUUGAAAAUAGGUAUGCACAAGCAUGGACAAUAUUUUCCUAGAAUAAUGAAGUCACUGGCUAUAUAGUUAUAGUGUGACCCAGAUAUGUAUUUUUGGACGUGUGCCUUUGCUGGCUUGUAGUAUUUAUUGUUUAUAUGUAUUUUGAAAAUACCACGUUGGUAGAUCUGUUCCUUUCUUCUGGAGAAGCAUUUUGAAAAUACCCCGUUCGUAUAUUGAAAAUAGGUAUGCACAAGAAUUGUAAAUAAUUUACUAGAAUGAUUAAGUUACUAGCUAUAUAGCGUGAUCCGGAUAUGUA